rnacentral:lncRNA from 1 species
AACCUACCUAAUCCUGGAAUGAUAAUAUUAAAGAUCAAACACAUAAUAGCUACUGGCUUCAUCAUGGCUGGGAUAGAAUCUCUCAGACUAGAUUCCGUAUCCUCCUUCUCCCGUUCCUUUGAUUGAGAUCUUGGUGUACUUGUAUGGUGUACGGUUGGAGGAAAAUAUCCUGGUAAGACAGGUCUCCCGUAACCUUUAAUCUGUUUCCUUUGAAGGCGAGGUGACGGUGUCGGGGUAGAACCACCACUAUACACAACCUGCAUAUUCCUUUGGAAAAUAUAUGUCACUACAGAGUUUAAUGAAUGAACUUUUAUCUAAUAGUCUACACCAUUCCUUCAAACACAUAGAUCAAUCAUCACAGUAUGUUUUGAAAUCACAUGUACACUAUAAAGAAGAAAAUCACAAAGUUUAAAGAGAUAUCGUUUAAAAACUUUUUGAUUAGGAGGAACGCA